CCUACGGGGGGCUGCAGUGGGGAAUAUUGCACAAUGGGCGCAAGCCUGAUGCAGCCAUGCCGCGUGUGUGAAGAAGGCCUUCGGGUUGUAAAGCACUUUCAGCGGGGAGGAAGGCGUUAAGGUUAAUAACCUUGUCGAUUGACGUUACCCGCAGAAGAAGCACCGGCUAACUCCGUGCCAGCAGCCGCGGUAAUAGGGAGGGUGCAAGCGUUAAUCGGAAUUACUGGGCGUAAAGCGCACGCAGGCGGUCUGUCAAGUCGGAUGUGGAAUCCCCGGGCUCAACCUGGGAACUGCAUUCGAAACUGGCAGGCUAGAGUCUUGUAGAGGGGGGUAGAAUUCCAGGUGUAGCGGUGAAAUGCGUAGAGAUCUGGAGGAAUACCGGUGGCGAAGGCGGCCCCCUGGACAAAGACUGACGCUCAGGUGCGAAAGCGUGGGGAGCAAACAGGAUUAGAUACCCUGGUAGUC
rnacentral:rRNA from 1 species